UGCCUUUGAAAGAUACUGUGUAGCUAUAGAACAUGUAAAUGUUCAUGUGAAGUAUGACAAUUUUGGUGAUAAAAUUUUGAUGACAUUCUAGUACUGGGUUAUUACAUUAGAAAAUUGUGUUGAAUUCUCUUGUCUUCCCCCUUGAUAACACCGGAUUCUUGUCUGAAAGCUGCUUCAUUUUCUGUACCAAAGUGCUUUGUAUUUAGGACUAGCCCAGCUUUUGUCAAAAAAAGGCAUCUGAAUUUCAGUAGUAUUUCUAUUCAUUUGUUUAAUAACAAGAGCUCAAAAGAUGAGCACAGAACAUUCCUUUGCAUCAAGGCAAUGCCAUUGGGUUGCAGAGACAGCUUUUAGUUUAUACACCUACCUUGAACACGCUGCAGUUUACCCCCUUUUUUUCAAAAGGGAAAUGAUCCAAAUAUUUACAGCAGAAGCUAAAAUGGAAUUGUCUUAUUUAGGUUCAAAGCCAGCAAUGAAGACACAAUUUCUGCAGUGAGGAGCUGGGUGUUGACUUGGUAACACUGGCAGAGAAAGGAUUAACACCUGAGACUGAUGAACACUGGAUGAAAGUUCCUGUGUGCUUCAGCUGUGGCUUCCACCAAGCAGGUUUUCAGUGCCAGACAGGACAUCUUUUCCCUAAGGGGAAAAUGCAGAAGAGAGCUAACUGGGAGAUGGGACGCGACAGCUAUCACAGCUCCACCACAUCACCCAGCAGAAACCACGGCAGGGGAGGUGAUUGCACAGCUUAUCCAUGGCUGGAAGGGGUCACCAGCCAUAAUUCCCAGCACCCAUCACAUCCCUCACAGUCACAGUUGAGAGGAGUUGGAGCUGGUGUAAAGCAAGAGGAAAGGGAUGUGGGCUGUCAAAGGUGGGUUUAACCAGCAGCAGUCACUGCACUUAUUGUAUCUUUUUGUACAUUGAAGGCUAAAAGUGACAAUGUCAGGUAUUUGAAAGUGUCCUAGUUUCGUGUGAAAUGGAUUUAUUGGAGAUUCAUAACAAUGAGAACAAAACAUUCAUCACUGAUGCACUCAGUUGUAUCCCAGUGAAUAGAAUUUGCUGAAGCUAAGACAGAUCUCAUGGCAGCUCAGAAGAGAGAAAUCAUGUGCUAGGAAUAGAGAACAAUUUAAAUUACACAAUACUCACCAAAUCUUCCUUUGUAUCUCAUUAAUGGAAUAAGAAUGGGAAAAAAAAUGAUGGAGAAACAGAGGUGAAGAAUUAAAUAAUGGUUUUGGGAAUCACUUUCUGGGCAAGCAACUUUCACCAACUUUCUGACAGCUAAAAAUAAGUUUAGAAAUAAAGCCAUAUGGAUAACUUGGUCUUCUGAUUGU
rnacentral:lncRNA from 1 species